rnacentral:rRNA from 1 species
CGAGUGGCGGACGGGUGAGUAAUGUCUGGGAAACUGCCCGAUGGAGGGGGAUAACUACUGGAAACGGUAGCUAAUACCGCAUAACGUCGCAAGACCAAAGAGGGGGACCUUCGGGCCUCUUGCCAUCGGAUGUGCCCAGAUGGGAUUAGCUAGUAGGUGGGGUAACGGCUCACCUAGGCGACGAUCCCUAGCUGGUCUGAGAGGAUGACCAGCCACACUGGAACUGAGACACGGUCCGG